GAUGAACGCUGGCGGCGUGCUUAACACAUGCAAGUCGAACGGUGAAGGCGGAGCUUGCUCUGCUUGAUCAGUGGCGAACGGGUGAGUAACACGUGAGCAAUCUGCCCCUGACACUGUGAUAAGCGCUGGAAACGGCGUCUAAUACUGGAUACGAGCUGCGAAGGCAUCUUCAGCAGCUGGAAAGAAUUUCGGUCAUGGAUGAUCUCGCGGCCUAUCAGCUUGUUGGUGAGGUAAUGGCGCACCAAGGCGUCGAAGGGUAGCCGGCCUGAGCGGGUGAACGGCCACACGGGGACUGAGGGACGGACCAGACUCCUACGGGAGGCAGCGGUGGGGAAUAUUGCACAAUGGGCGAAAGCCUGAUGUAGCAACGCCGGGUGAGUGAAGACGGCUUUCGGGUUGUAAACAUACUUGAGCAGGGAAGUAGCGAAAGUGACGGUACCUGAAGAAAAAGCGCCGGCUAACUACGUG
rnacentral:rRNA from 1 species